rnacentral:rRNA from 1 species
UGGCGGCGUGCUUAACACAUGCAAGUCGAACGAUGAACCGCUUUCGGGCGGGGAUUAGUGGCGAACGGGUGAGUAACACGUGGGCAAUCUGCCCUGCACUCUGGGACAAGCCCUGGAAACGGGGUCUAAUACCGGAUAUGACUGUCCAUCGCAUGGUGGAUGGUGUAAAGCUCCGGCGGUGCAGGAUGAGCCCGCGGCCUAUCAGCUUGUUGGUGAGGUAGUGGCUCACCAAGGCGACGACGGGUAGCCGGCCUGAGAGGGCGACCGGCCACACUGGGACUGAGACACGGCCCAGACUCCUACGGGAGGCAGCAGUGGGGAAUAUUGCACAAUGGGCGAAAGCCUGAUGCAGCGACGCCGCGUGAGGGAUGACGGCCUUCGGGUUGUAAACCUCUUUCAGCAGGGAAGAAGCGAAAGUGACGGUACCUGCAGAAGAAGCGCCGGCUAACUACGUGCCAGCAGCCGCGGUAAUACGUAGGGCGCAAGCGUUGUCCGGAAUUAUUGGGCGUAAAGAGCUCGUAGGCGGCUUGUCACGUCGGUUGUGAAAGCCCGGGGCUUAACCCCGGGUCUGCAGUCGAUACGGGCAGGCUAGAGUUCGGUAGGGGAGAUCGGAAUUCCUGGUGUAGCGGUGAAAUGCGCAGAUAUCAGGAGGAACACCGGUGGCGAAGGCGGAUCUCUGGGCCGAUACUGACGCUGAGGAGCGAAAGCGUGGGGAGCGAACAGGAUUAGAUACCCUGGUAGUCCACGCCGUAAACGGUGGGCACUAGGUGUGGGCAACAUUCCACGUUGUCCGUGCCGCAGCUAACGCAUUAAGUGCCCCGCCUGGGGAGUACGGCCGCAAGGCUAAAACUCAAAGGAAUUGAC